UGACCGUGCGAAGGUAGCAUAAUCAUUAGUCUUUUAAUUGAAGGCUUGUAUGAAUGGUUGGACGAGAAGUAAUCUGUCUCUAUCGAAAAAAUUGAAUUUAACUUUUGAGUGAGAAGGCUUAAAUGGUCUAGAGGGACGAUAAGACCCUAUAAAGUUUAACAUUAUGGUAAUAAAAAGUUGAUUAGGUUGGGGAGCUUACUAUUAUAAAUAAUGUUUUGUUGGGGCGACAAGAACAUAAAUAAUUUAACUGUUCUUUUUUGUAUCAAAAAUAUUUGGGUUAAUGAUCUUUUUAAGAGUAUUAGAGUAAAUUACUUUAGGGAUAACAGCGUAAUUUUUUUUGAGAGUUCCUAUCGACAAAAGAGUUUGCGACCUCGAUGUUGAAUUAAAGAUUCUUUAUAAUGCAGGAGUUAUAUAAGAAGGUCUGUUCGACCUUUAAAUCUUUACAUGAUUUGAGUUCAGACCGGUGUGAGCCAGGUUGGUUUCUAUCUA
rnacentral:rRNA from 1 species